rnacentral:rRNA from 1 species
UACGUAGGGCGCAAGCGUUGUCCGGAAUUAUUGGGCGUAAAGAGCUCGUAGGCGGUCUGUUACGUCCGCUGUGAAAACCCAGGGCUUAACCCUGGGCUUGCAGUGGAUACGGGUAGACUAGAGGCAGGUAGGGGAGAAUGGAAUUCCCGGUGUAGCGGUGAAAUGCGCAGAUAUCGGGAGGAACACCGGUGGCGAAGGCGGUUACCUGGACAGUUACUGACGCUCAGGCACGAAAGCAUGGGGAGCAAAAGGG